UGUUGUGUCUUUGUACCAGAAGGACAGAACUAGGUGUUCUUCCAUUCUAGGGUAAUAUAGUAGCAGAUGUCGUGACAACUGUGAAAGCGUGCUUAAGUACAGGGUUUUAAUUUGUAUAGUUGUCUUGCUGUAUUAGUUACAAUGUUGGAUCAGAUGUCAUGACUUGGAGUAGAACAUCUGAAUUCCGACUACGCCAGAAUUUCACUCCUUAGCACUGCCAAUCAUC
rnacentral:lncRNA from 1 species